rnacentral:rRNA from 1 species
GUGGGGAAUUUUGGACAAUGGGGGCAACCCUGAUCCAGCCAUGCCGCGUGCGGGAAGAAGGCCUUCGGGUUGUAAACCGCUUUUGUCAGGGAAGAAAUCCUUUGGGUUAAUACCUCGGAGGGAUGACGGUACCUGAAGAAUAAGCACCGGCUAACUACGUGCCAGCAGCCGCGGUAAUACGUAGGGUGCGAGCGUUAAUCGGAAUUACUGGGCGUAAAGCGUGCGCAGGCGGUUUUGUAAGAUCGAUGUGAAAUCCCCGGGCUCAACCUGGGAACUGCAUUGGUGACUGCAAGGCUGGAGUGCGGCAGAGGGGGAUGGAAUUCCGCGUGUAGCAGUGAAAUGCGUAGAUAUGCGGAGGAACACCGAUGGCGAAGGCAAUCCCCUGGGCCUGCACUGACGCUCAUGCACGAAAGCGUGGGGAUCAAACAGGAUUAGAUACCCGAGUAGUCC